rnacentral:rRNA from 1 species
UACGGAGGGUGCAAGCGUUGUCCGGAAUUAUUGGGCGUAAAGAGCUCGUAGGCGGCCUGUCGCGUCGGCUGUGAAAACCCGGGGCUCAACCCCGGGCCUGCAGUCGAUACGGGCAGGCUAGAGUCCGGCAGGGGAGACUGGAAUUCCUGGUGUAGCGGUGAAAUGCGCAGAUAUCAGGAGGAACACCGGUGGCGAAGGCGGGUCUCUGGGCCGGAACUGACGCUGAGGAGCGAAAGCGUGGGGAGCGAACAGG